rnacentral:rRNA from 1 species
GAUGAACGCUGGCGGCGUGCCUAAUACAUGCAAGUCGAGCGAACAGACGAGGAGCUUGCUCCUCUGACGUUAGCGGCGGACGGGUGAGUAACACGUGGAUAACCUACCUAUAAGACUGGGAUAACUUCGGGAAACCGGAGCUAAUACCGGAUAAUAUAUUGAACCGCAUGGUUCAAUAGUGAAAGACGGUUUUGCUGUCACUUAUAGAUGGAUCCGCGCCGCAUUAGCUAGUUGGUAAGGUAACGGCUUACCAAGGCAACGAUGCGUAGCCGACCUGAGAGGGUGAACGACCACACUGGAACUGAGACACGGUCCAGACUCCUACGGGAGGCAGCAGUAGGGAAUCUUCCGCAAUGGGCGAAAGCCUGACGGAGCAACGCCGCGUGAGUGAUGAAGGUCUUCGGAUCGUAAAACUCUGUUAUUAGGGAAGAACAAAUGUGUAAGUAACUAUGCACGUCUUGACGGUACCUAAUCAGAAAGCCACGGCUAACUACGUG